GCCCCACGUGUGAAAGCACCAGUCUGCCCCCAACAUGAUGCCCCAUCUGGCUCCUUUCGCCAACCUACACAGCUAUGCGACCUCCCCAGCAAAUAGUCUGUGGUCAGUGCCUUCUGUAACGACGAUGCAGCCUUCCAACAACUUCUAAUCAUGGUGACAGAGCUGAUCAGAGAAGUCGGUGAGGAGUUCAGAGCCGUCUGUUAAUCCUGCAGCACUGACCCUGUUCAUGCUGGGGUGUUGUCUCUGGAUUAGCCUUUGCACAACAUAGAUGAGAUGAAGUGCAAUGAC